rnacentral:tRNA from 1 species
AUAAAAGCUAGUUUAAAUAAAACCCUUAAUUUCGGCUUAAGAUAUUUUGGCAAUAACUCCAAAGCUUUUAUA